AAACUUCCCGUCAGUCCCGUCAACACGUUUGGCGUAAAAUAUGUCUGAAUUCAACAUUAAGUAUUUUUUAAGCUAACAUUUGUUGUUUUCGGUGACGUGGACGUGUAUAUCGGUGACGUCAUUUUUGCCCUUAAUGGCUACCGUUUCUCAUGUGAUAGGACAAGGACGUUUAUUGGACAAAGUAUGGACAGGAUUGUCUGUGAGGAUGGAGUAUACAGUAAGGGUAAACGAGAAGAACAAGAAAAAGGCUGCAUCAUCUGCGGUGCUUCUGUUUAACAAAUGAUCCGAUCUUUGGCUCUUUAACUCACAUUGACUUCCUCCCUGCUCCGUCUUUCUCAUUCCUUUUCCGUCUCUCAUUUAGUCCUGUCAGCAUACUGUCCAUACUUUCUCCUACUCCUGUUUCAGCCGGUAUUGGGGCGUAGCGCUAUAUGUAGCUCUCUUUUUUUUCUUAGGACAGGUGGGGAGGUGAUAAUCGUAGGUCUUUGGGGUCGUUUUAUCUUACCUGGUCUCAUUAUUUUUGUAAUAAUUUGCUAUCCUUUUUUUGCGCCAUGAAGAACUGAGGACACUCUGGUAUUGACAGCAAUGCUCUGCAUUUCUUUUCAUCCCCAUCUCUUUCUCAUCUGUACACCCCCCCACCCUCUCUCGCUCCCUCUCUCUUUCCUCUCAUCCUCAAAUUCUCAAACGCUGAAUCAGCUGCUUGGGAAUGGACGCUCCCCCUGCAUCUUGGAUGCACAAGCUGCCUCUCCCCGGUUCUGCUCUUGUCCUGCAUUUGGGAUUCUGGUCUCCCCCUAAAAUGCUUUGCUAAAGCUGGUAAAAUGGAACCAAAUCAACUGUUUUAUGGAUUUGGUCCCCUUCAACCAGCUGUAGCUGUGCAUUGAUCACCCCGUGGAGCUCUGAUGAAGAAAGCACAAUAUUUGCUCUGUCUGGAUCACAAUGCAAGACCGGCUGUUGAAUGAAUGUCCCUUUAAGCACUAAUAUCAUGAUUAAACACUCUUUGUCCUCUUAAGACCCAGGUGAGUAUUAUAUAUGUCAUGUCACAUUUUUUAUUUAUGAGCUAUAAUUGUUGAUUAUGUAUUCAAGCCAAAUCACUAUCAUUGAAAAGAGGCUCUGGGCUCUUUAUGGCCUGCCAUUGAUUUCUUGUCUCUGGGCUGAAAGAGUGAGAGCGGGGGAUGAGCCAGGUUGGAUGGAUGUAGGGAACGAAGGAGGGGUGUGUGCGUGCGUGUGUGUGUCAAAGCUGUUGAAUAAGUAAAACAGUCGUUCCUUUUCUCUCUCUCCCUCUCUUGCUUCUACACUUGUCGUGAUUCUUAAUGCACAUGCUUGAUCAAUAAAAGCUCAUCCUGAAGUUCAUAAA